CAUGUUCUGCUCUGAGGCUGUGUGAAGCUGUGAGGUCACAAAGCACCACAGUGAUGUGCUGGGUGCUGGGGCACAGGCACUAUUCCGGCACUUGCAGUCGCUGCUGCACUGGUGGUGGCAGUAUUGCAUGUGUGUUGGUGACCAUGGUCCCAGGACACCUCCUCCUCCUCUUCUUCCUCGUGGCCUUGGAGGCCUCUGGCAUCCAGGCUGCUCCAUGGCGAAGAUCGAGAGCAGAUGUGCCCCCAGAGAGGGCUUUUCCAGCCCUUCCGCGGCCUCCUGCGCUUGAUCCACUUGACCCACGCUGGCAUCCCAGAGCUGUGCUUGUUGGUGAUAAGUACAGAGUUCUGUGGCCUAGUCCUCCUCAUGUGCCUCAGGGUGAUUCUGAAGAGGGAUGGACUUGGAAGUGAGAUGGCAUCAGGUUACACUUA
rnacentral:lncRNA from 1 species